CGUGGGUGACCUGCCUUCGAGCGGGGGAUAACGCCCCGAAAGGGACGCUAAUACCGCAUAACAUCCUGCCUUUUAAGAGGUGGAGAUCAAAGCCGGGGAUCGCAAGACCCGGCACUCGAAGAGGGGCCCGCGUCCGAUUAGCUAGUUGGUGAGGUAACGGCUCACCAAGGCAACGAUCGGUAGCCGGCCUGAGAGGGCGGACGGCCACACUGGGACUGAGACACGGCCCAGACUCCUACGGGAGGCAGCAGUGGGGAAUUGUUCGCAAUGGGCGCAAGCCUGACGACGCAACGCCGCGUGGAGGAUGAAGAUCUUCGGGUCGUAAACUCCUUUCGAUCGAGACGAACGGCCUCCGGGUGAACAAUCCGGAGGAGUGACGGUACCGAGAGAAGAAGCCCCGGCUAACUCCGUGCCAGCAGCCGCGGUAAUACGGGGGGGGCAAGCGUUGUUCGGAAUUACUGGGCGUAAAGGGCUCGUAGGCGGCCAACUAAGUCAGACGUGAAAUCCCUCGGCUUAACCGGGGAACUGCGUCUGAGACUGGAUGGCUCGAGUGUGGGAGAGGGAUGCGGAAUUCCAGGUGUAGCGGUGAAAUGCGUAGAUAUCUGGAGGAACAUCGGUGGC
rnacentral:rRNA from 1 species